rnacentral:lncRNA from 1 species
UCAGGAGGGCUACACAGAGAAGUUCUGUCUUGAAAACCAAGCCAAACCAAAAGACCAAGCUGCUCUGGAAUGUGCAGAACUGGUGCCUCUGGCAUGCUGGGACUGCAGGCAUGCACCACCACAUCCAGAAAGAAUGCUGUUACUAAGAAAAGCCUCUCCAUGUCUGACUGUGCCUAUUUUGUUUGUUUGUUUGUUUGUUUGUUUUGUUUUGUUUUUUAAAGAUGUAUGAGCUGGGCGUGGUGGCACACACCUUUAAUCCCAGCACUAGGGAGACAGAGGCAGGCAGAUUUCUGAGUUUGAGGCCAGCCUGGUCUACAAAGUGAGUUCCAGGACAGCCAGGGCUAUACAGAGAAACCCUGUCUCCAAAAAACCAACCAACCAACCAAACAAAAAAAGAUGUAUGUAUUUAUUUUAUUUAUGAGUACACUGUAGCUGUCUUCAGACAUACCAGAAGAGAGGGCAUUGGAUCCCAUUACAGAUGGUUGUGAACCACUAUGUGGUUGCUGGGAAUUGAACUCAGAACCUCUGGAAGAGCAGUCAGUGUUCUUAACCACUGAGCCAUCUCUCCAGCCCUGACUGUCUGUGUUAAGUGUUGUACCUGUGUCUGUCUCAGGCCCUUAGCACCAUGACCUCCAGUUACUGCUCCUUUUCACGGAUAAGAAGGCUCCAGAGCUAUGUGGGGAGCACAGUGCUUGCUCUACAGCUUAGAAUACUUGCUGUUUCCUGACUGUUCAGUACUGACUCUCCUAGAAUUCACGAACAUAGACCAGGCUGGCCUGGAAUUCACAGAGAUCGGCCUGCGGCUGAUAUCGUGUGGGGCUCUGUGACCAAUCCAGAGUCUGUUGUUGCUUUUGGUUUUGAAGCAGGCUCCUGUCAGAUGGUUCUGCGGUCCAGGCCAGCCUGGCACUUUGCAUACGCAAGUCUCGGCUUCCCAAGUGCGUUUAACACAAACUAACAAGCAAACAAACAAAAGCAUAACACGGUAAGCUGAGAGGGGUGGUGCACAUCUGCAGUCGGAAUACUGGACAGGCUGAAGCAGGAGGACUGUGAAUUUGAGGCUACCUUGACUACAUAGAAAAUCCCAAACCCAUUUGAGUUACCUAGUUAAAUCCUGUCUCAAAAACCAAAAGGUUGUGGGUGUUGCUCACUCAUGGAUCCAAGAGGGUGUUUCGGUUGAACAGGGGCUAUAGGGUGUGUGAGAACCUAUGUAGGAAUGCAGGGCCAGGCAUAGUGAUGUACACCCGAAAGCCUAGCUUGGGAGGUAGAGGCAGGAGGAUCCUAAGUUUAAGGACAGCCUCACAACACAACAAAUUUGAGGAAAGCCUGGGCUACAUUAGACCCUGUCUCC